AUGGAGCGCGGCAUCUUCGUCAGCUGCGCGGCGGGGAACGCGGGUCCGGACCCGGGCUCCGUGGGCAACGGGGCGCCUUGGAUGCUCACCGUCGCGGCCGGCACCAUGGACCACGCCAUACGCACCACCGUGAGGCUCGGAAACGGCGAGGAGUUCGACGGCGAGUCCCUGUUCCAGCCAGGCAACAACUCCGCCGCAAAGCCGCUUCCGCUUAUGUACCCCGCCGCCGACGGCUCCGACACAAGCCGCGAUUGCAGCGUGCUGCGCGGAGCCGAGGUGAGCGACAAGGUGGUGCUCUGCGAGAGCAGAGGCCUGAACGGCCGCAUCGAGGCUGGCCAGACCGUGUCCGCGUACGGCGGCGUGGGCAUGAUCGUGAUGAACAGAGCAGCCGAGGGGGUACACCACCUUCGCUGA
rnacentral:rRNA from 1 species